GCCUAUUUCCACUGAUUUCCAGAAACCGUAUAAGAUAUAGACAAAUUAUUUUUUCUAAAUUGUUAGUUGCGACAUGUCGUAACACGUAAAUUUUAAUUGCAAGGGUACGUUGAACGUAAAUAUGAGUUUUCUCCCCUCUUGUAUUUAAAAAUACGCGUAUGGUGAUAUAACUGAUUAACCAAAUAUAAUUAAGACCUAUGGUCUUUUGAUU
rnacentral:lncRNA from 1 species